rnacentral:rRNA from 1 species
UACGGAGGGUGCAAGCGUUGUCCGGAAUCACUGGGCGUAAAGGGCGCGUAGGCGGCUCAUGAAGGCUGUGGUGAAAGUCCGGGGCUCAACCUCGGAUCGGCCGUGGCGACUCGUGGGCUGGAGCACUGUAGAGGCGGGUGGAAUUCCGGGUGUAGCGGUGGAAUGCGUAGAGAUCCGGAAGAACACCAGUGGCGAAGGCGGCCGGCUGGGGGUGUCCUGACGCUGAGGCGCGAGAGCGUGGGGAGCAAACCGG